AGGAUUUGUGUUUUGUACUCGUUCGGGAUUCAGGCUGUAUAUGAGUUAGUGAGGACUGAAGAGAGGAGAGUUAAACAAACAAGCAAACAAACAAACACACAGGGCAAGAAAACAGGACCCAACAGCAGACGCUGACACCCUCCCGACCUGCAGUGCAGAGUGAUUCCAAGAACCGCGCGCGACAUUCCGUGUCUCAGGAAAGAUGCAGAGGAAUGAAAAUUGAGAACGCCCAUGUCCACAGACGCCACCUAGAUGAACUCUGAGUUCUGACUGUAAUCUGUAACAAGGUCUAAAUCAAGCAGUGCUUAGAGCCUCCCACAACGGGCCUUCAACCAUAUUUGGAAGAAAAGAAGGAAUCCAGAGAGGAAAUGGUUACCUGUGCUUACAGGCGGUCUGCACCACAAGCGCUGACUCAGCAAGAGGGAACUCUGCGUACCCCUGUCCCGAAAGCCCCUUGAGCAAGGACGUCAGAAAGAGACUAAAAUGGAGGGACAGCCUCCGAGGGCCCUGGAGCAGGGUAACAUGAGAUCUAUGACUAUCUAGUCAUUCGCUACCUGCAUUUGAAAGCAUAUGCAUUAUUAUGGUUGUCACCAUUUAUAGUAGUAUACUUAGACGUUGUCCAUCGAAUCUGGACGCAUACUCAAUUUGAAACUAAAUAAAACCUAAAGGAACAUAGGUGACCAUGAGGGACUCCAGGGAACAUUCUCUGGGACGGAACUCUGUGAAGAGUGGAGAAGAGGCCUCUAGGAUCAAGCUAUUCAUCAUGGAUACAGCCUCAGAUCCAGGACCUCCACCCUCUGGUGCAGUAUUUCCAGGAUAUUAGUGGGGGACUGUGGACCAUUCAAGCCUUGGAACAAGUCUAGCCCAACCACUGUCUAACUUUGCUGCUGACGGAAGCCUGACCCAGCCCUGACCUCGUAGACCUUAUAGGAAUAUGUUCUCAGCUCACUGCUCCACAUUUCUGGCCCUGUGACCUCACCAAACAAACACCUGCCUAUCUCAGAGCAUUGUAUCUAUUCAUGUUGAUUUCUGUCUCUUCCUUAUUAGUCUCUUGCACAAACCAUGAACUGGAUGAAAGCAAGAACGGGAUCGUUUGGGUUCUGUGGGUGACAUCAGGACUUGACUGUGGACUUGACUUGCAUCUGGCACAGCCUGCUCGCCAGCUCCUAUUCCCUUGCCCACCUGUUCUUUGACCUUGAACGCCCAACCCCUUUUUCUUGGCAUCAGUAUCGUCCUCUCUAAGAGCAGAGAUUAGGAUUAAUAAAUCUAUGACGUGCUUGUCACAGGGACUAAUGAGACUGUA
rnacentral:lncRNA from 1 species